rnacentral:rRNA from 1 species
GACGAACGCUGGCGGCGUGCUUAACACAUGCAAGUCGAGCGAUGAAGUUCCUUCGGGAAUGGAUUAGCGGCGGACGGGUGAGUAACACGUGGGUAACCUGCCUCAUAGAGGGGAAUAGCCUUCCGAAAGGAAGAUUAAUACCGCAUAAGAUUGUAGUAUCGCAUGAUACAGCAAUUAAAGGAGUAAUCCGCUAUGAGAUGGACCCGCGUCGCAUUAGCUAGUUGGUGAGGUAACGGCUCACCAAGGCGACGAUGCGUAGCCGACCUGAGCGGGUGAUCGGCCACAUUGGGACUGAGACGCGGCCCAGACUCCUACGGGAGGCAGCAGUGGGGAAUAUUGCACAAUGGGGGAAACCCUGAUGCAGCAACGCCGCGUGAGUGAUGACGGUCUUCGGAUUGUAAAACUCUGUCUUCAGGGACGAUAAUGACGGUACCUGAGGAGGAAGCCACGGCUAACUACGUGCCAGCCGCCGCCGUAA